UUCGAUCCUGAAAUAGAGUAAACCAAAUAAAUAGGUAGCGGUGCUACAAAGUUUCUUAUUGAUGAACUUCAUUUCUUGACUUCUGUUUAUCUUUUUUCUUGUAGGAAAAUCAAUGUUUGUUCAUGAGUUUAUGGAACGCAGCUAUGGUGCAAAUCCGUCGACGCACGACGGGGAUCGAAGCUUUCAAGAUCCAAAGCUCUAGUCCAGUUUCAUGGCAUUUAAGGGGGUCUUGGAAGACUAAGCCGAGAAGUAGGAAGAAGGGAGAAAGAGGAUUCCACUGGUGGUGUUGGUUGCUGGCCAAGACGUCGGACGGUGACAAUAAGAGCAAUGACAGCAAGGAGGCAAAAAGGAAAAGUUACUAAGUUUAGGUUAUUAAAAUUAAAUAAAUAAUUUAUGUUAUUAAAAUUUGGUAAUUCAUAGAUUAAGGUAUUUAGUGAGUAUUUCUAAUCUAAAUGCAGCCAAAAUUCUAAAAAGCUAGCUACAAUUUAAGAGGCACUUUGUGUAUUUUAGUGGA
rnacentral:lncRNA from 1 species